rnacentral:rRNA from 1 species
UACGGAGGGUGCAAGCGUUAAUCGGAAUUACUGGGCGUAAAGCGCACGUAGGCGGUUUUUUAAGUCAGAUGUGAAAGCCCCGGGCUCAACCUGGGAAUUGCAUUUGAAACUGGGAAACUAGAGUGUGUGAGAGGGGGGUAGAAUUCCAAGUGUAGCGGUGAAAUGCGUAGAGAUUUGGAGGAAUACCAGUGGCGAAGGCGGCCCCCUGGCACAACACUGACGCUCAGGUGCGAAAGCGUGGGGAGCAAACAGG